ACUUUUAAUUGUUCUCCAUUUUGAUGUACUCUAAAACUUUUAAUCACAGGAGUGAUUCUUACAGUCAAUGGUGGACGCUCUCCACACGGAUUGGAGAGAAGUAACUGUUGCACUUGUUCCCAGAGACAUGGGAGAGGAUCUCUUGAAUCAUGUUGUUUGUCUUGUUUGUGCAAUCCUUGGCAUGGAUUUCCUUGGACAUGUCCCGGCUCAUGUUCGCGCUCCUCCCAUCAAACAUAUACUUGAACAGCG
rnacentral:lncRNA from 1 species